CAGUAUCCCGAAGAACAGCGACGGCGUUAAUCUGAUUGGCGCUGGGGAAAGUCCUCGGACGAUGGUAAGAAAUCAAACUCGAAAUGGGUUCUUUUUGUCAUUCAAAUAGUUAUGCUGUUAGGUCUGUUAGUACCGAACUUGAUGAGGCUUACUCUCGGGAGGCU
rnacentral:RNase_MRP_RNA from 2 species